UGCGAGGAGAACUAUCGCGUCUUGUGUCAACGUUCCGUUCACUGGGCGUGUAGCUUCAUUUUUGUCUUACACGUACGGAGGUUAUGGUAUAGGUAGGAAGAGACCUGUGAAUAGUCGAUGGAUUAAAAGGCGUGGGCUAAAGGGGGGAAUGUUUCGAUUUAAGUAGCACAAAGGCGUGAUAAAUAGUGUUAGAUAGUUUUAAUAAAGCAAUACAAAACUACGAAGAAUUUUUACUACUCGCUCACGAAGUGGAUAGAAGAAAACUUAUAACAUCUGUUUGUCAUAAAAGAAAAAAGAACUUUUCAGAAGAAAGUGGGAGAGUGUUUCGACAAAAUCCUAAAGCUUAAAAGUAAAACUGUCUAUAAUUAAUGCAUGCCUAUUUUUACUAAACCGAUUAAAAUGAUUUGUUAUUAAUGAAAUAUAGUAUACUGUUAUAAAACAAAA
rnacentral:lncRNA from 1 species